AGUGAACGCUGGCGGUAGGCCUAACACAUGCAAGUCGGACGGCAGCACAGUAAGAGCUUGCUCUUACGGGUGGCGAGUGGCGGACGGGUGAGGAAUACAUCGGAAUCUACUUUUUCGUGGGGGAUAACGUAGGGAAACUUACGCUAAUACCGCAUACGACCUACGGGUGAAAGCAGGGGAUCUUCGGACCUUGCGCGAUUGAAUGAGCCGAUGUCGGAUUAGCUAGUUGGCGGGGUAAAGGCCCACCAAGGCGGCGAUCCGUAGCUGGUCUGAGAGGAUGAUCAGCCACACUGGAACUGAGACACGGUCCAGACUCCUACGGGAGGCAGCAGUGGGGAAUAUUGGACAAUGGGCGCAAGCCUGAUCCAGCCAUACCGCGUGGGUGAAGAAGGCCUUCGGGUUGUAAAGCCCUUUUGUUGGGAAAGAAAAGCAGCAGGUUAAUACCCCGCUGUUCUGACGGUACCCAAAGAAUAAGCACCGGCUAACUUCGUG
rnacentral:rRNA from 1 species